rnacentral:rRNA from 1 species
UCCUACGGGACGCAGCAGUGGGGAAUAUUGGGCAAUGGGCGCAAGCCUGACCCAGCAACGCCGCGUGAAGGAAGAAGGCUUUCGGGUUGUAAACUUCUUUUUAGAGGGAAGAGUAGAAGACGGUACCUCUUGAAUAAGCCACGGCUAACUACGUGCCAGCAGCCGCGGUAAUACGUAGGUGGCAAGCGUUGUCCGGAUUUACUGGGUGUAAAGGGCGUGUAGCCGGGCCGGCAAGCCAGAUGUGA